rnacentral:misc_RNA from 1 species
GAUGAAGAACGUAGCGAAAUGCGAUACGUAAUGUGAAUUGCAGAAUUCAGUGAAUCAUCGAGUCUUUGAACGCACAUUGCGCCCCCUGGUAUUCCGGGGGGCAUGCCUGUCCGAGCGUCAUUGCUGCCCUCAAGCACGGCUUGUGUGUUGGGCCCCCGUCCCCCUCUUUUUUAGGGGGGGGGGACGGGCCCGAAAGGCAGCGGCGGCACCGUGUCCGGUCCUCGAGCGUAUGGGAAGCAACUCUUUUUGUCACCCGCUCCUGUAGGUCCGGCCGGCGGCCUGCCCAACCCUCAAUCAAUCUUUUUUAACCAGGUUGACCUCGGAUCAGGUAGGGAUACCCGCUGAACUUAAGCAUAUCAAUAAGCGGAGGA